GAUGAACGCUAGCGGCAGGCUUAAUACAUGCAAGUCGAGGGGCAGCACAGGUAGCAAUACUGGGUGGCGACCGGCAAACGGGUGCGGAACACGUACACAACUUACCUUAGAGUGGGGGAUAGCCCAGGGAAACUUGGAUUAAUACCCCAUAAAACAGGGGGCCCGCAUGGGCAUAUUGUUAAAGAUUUAUCGCUUUAAGAUGGGUGUGCGUAUGAUUAGGUAGUUGGUAGGGUAAAGGCCUACCAAGCCGACGAUCAUUAACUGGUGUGAGAGCACGACCAGUCACACGGGCACAGAGACACGGGCCCGACUCCUACGGGAGGCAGCAGUAAGGAAUAUUGGUCAAUGGACGGAAGUCUGAACCAGCCAUGGCGCGUGAAGGAGGAAGGUCCUCUGGAUUGUAAACUUCUUUUAUAGGGGGCGAAAAAGGGCCAUUCUUGGUCAACUGACGGUACCCUAUGAAUAAGCACCGGCUAACUCCGUGCCAGCCGCCGCCGUAACAC
rnacentral:rRNA from 1 species